rnacentral:rRNA from 1 species
GGGCCCGCACAAGCGGCGGAGCAUGCGGAUUAAUUCGAUGCAACGCGAAGAACCUUACCUGGGUUUGACAUAUGCCGGAAGCAGCCAGAGAUGGUUGUGCCUUUUUGGUCGGUUUACAGGUGGUGCAUGGCUGUCGUCAGCUCGUGUCGUGAGAUGUUGGGUUAAGUCCCGCAACGAGCGCAACCCUCGUCCUAUGUUGCCAGCACGUUAUGGUGGGAACUCAUGGGAGACUGCCGGGGUCAACUCGGAGGAAGGUGGGGAUGAGGUCAAGUCAUCAUGCCCCUUAUGUCCAGGGCUUCACGCAUGCUACAAUGGCUGGUACAAAGGGUUGCGAUGCCGUGAGGCGGAGCGAAUCCCGUAAAGCCAGUCUCAGUUCGGAUUGGGGUCUGCAACUCGACCCCAUGAAGUCGGAGUCGCUAGUAAUCGCAGAUCAGCAUUGCUGCGGUGAAUACGUUCCCGGGCCUU